AAUCAACGCUGGCGGCGUGCCUAACACAUGCAAGUCGAACGAGAAAGCGGGGGCAACUCCGUGAGUAAAGUGGCGACCGGGUGAGUAACACGUGACUAACCUGCCCUAGAGUGGGGGAUAACCUCGGGAAACCGGGGCUAAUACCGCAUAACAUCGCGAGGGGAAGAUCCUUGCGAUCAAAGGAGCAAUUCGCUCAAGGAGGGGGUCGCGGCUGAUUAGCCAGUUGGCGGGGUAACGGCCCACCAAAGCGAAGAUCAGUAGCCGGCCUGAGAGGGCGCACGGCCACACUGGAACUGAAACACGGUCCAGACUCCUACGGGAGGCAGCAGUGGGGAAUUUUGCGCAAUGGGGGAAACCCUGACGCAGCAACGCCGCGUGGAGGAUGAAGUCCCUUGGGAUGUAAACUCCUUUCGAUCGGGACGAUAAUGACGGUACCGGAAGAAGAAGCACCGGCUAACUCUGUGCCAGCAGCCGCAGUAAUAC
rnacentral:rRNA from 1 species